GAUGAACGCUGGCGGCGUGCCUAAUACAUGCAAGUAGAACGCUGAAGCUUGGUGCUUGCACCGAGCGGAUGAGUUGCGAACGGGUGAGUAACGCGUAGGUAACCUGCCUCUUAGCGGGGGAUAACUAUUGGAAACGAUAGCUAAUACCGCAUAAAAGUCGACAUUGCAUGAUGUUGACUUGAAAGGUGCAAUUGCAUCACUAAGAGAUGGACCUGCGUUGUAUUAGCUAGUUGGUGAGGUAACGGCUCACCAAGGCAACGAUACAUAGCCGACCUGAGAGGGUGAUCGGCCACACUGGGACUGAGACACGGCCCAGACUCCUACGGGAGGCAGCAGUAGGGAAUCUUCGGCAAUGGGGGCAACCCUGACCGAGCAACGCCGCGAGAGUGAAGAAGGUUUUCGGAUCGUAAAGCUCUGUUGUAAGAGAAGAACGAGUGUGAGAGUGGAAAGUUCACACUGUGACGGUAACUUACCAGAAAGGGACGGCUAACUACGUGCCAGCAGCCGCGGUAAUACGUAGGUCCCGAGCGUUAUCCGGAUUUAUUGGGCGUAAAGCGAGCGCAGGCGGUUAGAUAAGUCUGAAGUUAAAGGCUGUGGCUUAACCAUAGUACGCUUUGGAAACUGUUUAACUUGAGUGCAGAAGGGGAGAGUGGAAUUCCAUGUGUAGCGGUGAAAUGCGUAGAUAUAUGGAGGAACACCGGUGGCGAAAGCGGCUCUCUGGUCUGUAACUGACGCUGAGGCUCGAAAGCGUGGGGAGCAAACAGG
rnacentral:rRNA from 1 species